GGGAAACCGGGGCUAAUGCCGGAUAACAUAUAGAACCGCAUGGUUCUAUAGUGAAAGAUGGUUUUGCUAUCACUUAUAGAUGGACCCGCGCCGUAUUAGCUAGUUGGUAAGGUAAUGGCUUACCAAGGCGACGAUACGUAGCCGACCUGAGAGGGUGAUCGGCCACACUGGAACUGAGACACGGUCCAGACUCCUACGGGAGGCAGCAGUAGGGAAUCUUCCGCAAUGGGCGAAAGCCUGACGGAGCAACGCCGCGUGAGUGAUGAAGGGUUUCGGCUCGUAAAACUCUGUUAUUAGGGAAGAACAUAUGUGUAAGUAACUGUGCACAUCUUGACGGUACCUAAUCAGAAAGCCACGGCUAACUACGUGCCAGCAGCCGCGGUAAUACGUAGGUGGCAAGCGUUAUCCGGAAUUAUUGGGCGUAAAGCGCGCGUAGGCGGUUUCUUAAGUCUGAUGUGAAAGCCCACGGCUCAACCGUGGAGGGUCAUUGGAAACUGGGAAACUUGAGUGCAGAAGAGGAAAGUGGAAUUCCAUGUGUAGCGGUGAAAUGCGCAGAGAUAUGGAGGAACACCAGUGGCGAAGGCGACUUUCUGGUCUGUAACUGACGCUAAUGUGCGAAAGCGUGGGGAUCAAACAGGAUUACAUACCCUGGUAGUCCACGCCGUAAACGAUGAGUGCUAAGUGUUAAGGGGUUUCCGCCCCUUAGUGCUGCAGCUAACGCUUUAAGCACUCCGGCUGGCGAGU
rnacentral:rRNA from 1 species